rnacentral:rRNA from 1 species
UACGUAGGGGGCUAGCGUUGUCCGGAUUUAUUGGGCGUAAAGAGCGUGUAGGCGGCCAGGUAGGUCAGCUGUGAAAACUCGAGGCUCAACCUCGAGACGUCGGUUGAAACCACCUGGCUAGAGUCCGGAAGAGGAGAGUGGAAUUCCCGGUGUAGCGGUGAAAUGCGCAGAUAUCGGGAGGAACACCAGUGGCGAAAGCGACUACCUGGCCCAUUCUUGACGCUGAGGCGCGAAAGCUAGGGGAGCGAACGGG